GCUCAAACCAGAGAAAAUUACAAAAUUUAUUUAAUCACAGAAGGUACCGUACUUUUUUUUUAAAAAGUGUCCAAUAUUUCAUUUGCCUGCCUCAGACUGGUUGGUAGAAUCCGCAGAAAUCAACAACACACAUGUACAUGUUCAGAAUUUUAUAAACAAAAAGCACAUUUUCACAGAAAGUGAUAUUCAUUGCCAGGAAGAUUUUUGGAUGUUUUGAAUUUGUUUUUUUUUAUAUAACAUUAACUGUUACGUUUCUACAAGUGAAUUUUAUAUUCAUCAUUGUUUUGUAUAAAUCCCCUGUAUGUCUGUUGUCAUUCCUUGUAGUAUACGAAUUAAAAUCAUUUACAUAU
rnacentral:sRNA from 1 species